AGUUAGACCUACAUGCUCUGAUAUUUGCUGUGAAAUAAUCAGAAUCAAUCUGAGGAGGGUAAGUCAAGAACAAGGAUCAAUGGGAUCAAAGUUUCUAGAAGGGCAUCCACACGUGGGGACUUGGUCUGCUUCAUCGUACCUGCAGACUCCGUAGCUUCCACAGAACCCGAAAACCUCACACUGAUCACUCACAGCAGUCCACCUCACAACUCUGUUUCCAACUCCAUCACUCAAUGCAGAGCUAUACAUCCUCAUAUUCCCAUCACAAUCCAACUUCACAAACCUCAGGAUACCAUCACUCGAAUCGCCAUAAUCACUACCUCGAGCCAUUAAGACAUUGUUCAAGAGCAACGGAUCGAGAAGGGACAGUAUUCCCUCAGGCUGCAUAGCUAAACUAGAGAUAUUUUACCUGAACUCAACAAGCGAAAAGAGUAGAAUCCACAACGUAAGACGUUUCCAGUCGUGAAAUUCUGCUCAGGCACAAUAGUA